AUUUAUUGGGAUCUGCGUAUCCCUACUUGUCUAAUAUGUAAUAAUUAGGUAGGCAAAAUUAGAGUUCUAUAGGGAAGUGUGCUCAGCAAGAGUUGACGGACUGAGGUCGUAAUUUUUUACGGCACCGUGGCAUACAUAGGACUCAGGAGAAGAAGAUGAUUGAAUGGUCGCAGACGGGAUCUAUUUGACCACAUAAGAUGUUGGUAAAUCGGAUAGUUGAAGAAUAGCUUUUCUUAAAAGUUGAGAGUGUGUAUGUGAAUGUAACAAUUACCCCAUAGACUGAUUUGACUCAUCGGCUCAAGUCAAAUCAUAAAACUUCAUGAUCAUCCC
rnacentral:lncRNA from 1 species